rnacentral:lncRNA from 1 species
UAUUUGUUUUAAUACACAAAUAUAUUCUCUCAAAUGUCUUAAAUAAUUGAACUUUACUACAGUUAUAUUUCUUUAAAAAAAUCUAUUAAUUACAGUCAUAUCCAUCUUUUUAAAAAUUAAAUUUUAAUAUAAUUAUAUUCUCUUAAAGAAUCUACUAAUUCCCGUCAUAUUUAUCUUUUUAUCUCUAAAAGAAAAAUUGUAGAUUCUAAUUAAUAACUAGUUUCCCAUUAUUAAAAGGGAAUAUAGUNGUUUCACUAAAACUAGCAUGCAGGGCAAGUUAGCGGUUCAAUCGGGCAUAAUAACAUCAAGCAAGGCAAAUGUGGGUGUGUGCACGCAUACCGAGGUGAACAGUCAAGAGAAAAAGGGGCAGACAGGCAUGGAUCAUACAAGCAUCUAGCCACAAACAUAGAUGAAUGUAACGAAAAGGAAAGCCGGAGGUCAAGAAACAUACCUUUGUUAUUUAUAACACUUAAGAGAAUCUCCUAGAAAAUAAUAUUUUUAUAAUCAAUACUUGUGUAUUUAUUUUAAUACACAAAUAUAUUCUCUCAAUAACUUUAAAUAAUUUAAUUUUAUUACAACUAUAUUCCUUCAAAAAAAUCUACUAAUUAACAUUAUAUUUAUCUUUCUAAAUAAUUGAAUUUUAAUAAAAUUAUAUUCUCUUAAGGAAUCUACUAAUGACCGUCACAUUUAUAUUUUUUUUUAUCAGUAAAAGAAGAGUUGUGGGAUCUAAUUACUAACUCAUUUCUCAUUAUUAAAAUAUAAUAUAACAAAUUAAGCUAUUUAUUUAUUUCAAUAUUUAGUUGAAUUACUACAUGUUAUAAUAUGCUAAGAUUCUAUAUAUCUACACUUAAAGAUUCUUGUGAAUAUUUUAAAUUUAUAUUUUUCUUUCAAUUAUAAAAAUAAUAUUUAAUAGUAGAUUCUAGUAUAUAUUACAAAAUAUAAUUGGUAUGAAAUUGAGAUUCUUUAAAAUGUUCCAAGAUUCUUUAAAAUGUUCGUUCAUAUAUCGGAGAAUGAUAUAUAGUAGAAUUUUAAAAUGUUUAUUUAUAAAAUUGACAUAAAACAUCUAUUUUAAGUAAUUGAACGAAUAUUUAUUUUAAGUUUUUUUAAAAAAUCUCAAAAUUUUAUUAUUGAAAUGUAAUACUAACUUAAUUUAUAUUUAAAGAGCAUUAUAAAAACUCCUAAUAAGAAAACAUAUAAGUGAAUAUUUUAAAGAAUCUUAAUUUUUUUCUUUAAAAGAAUCUAUUAAUGACAGUCAUAUUCAUCUUUUUAAAAAUUAAAUUUUAAUAUAACUAUAUUCUCCUAAAGAAUCUACUAAUUCCCGUCAUAUUUAUCUUUCUCUAAAAGAAAAAUUGUAGAUUCUACUUAAUAACUAGUUUCACAUUAUUAAAAGGGAAUAUAGUAAAUUAAAAUUUUCAU